rnacentral:rRNA from 1 species
GACGAACGCUGGCGGCGUGCCUAAUACAUGCAAGUCGAACGAACCGCGACUGAGUGCUUGCACUUGGUCAAGGUGAGUGGCGAACGGGUGAGUAACACGUGGGUAACCUACCUCAUAGUGGGGGGUAACAGUCGGAAACGACUGCUAAUACCGCAUAGGACAUAGGAUCACAUGAUCCAGUGAGGAAAGGUGGCGCAAGCUAUCGCUAAGAGAUGGACCCGCGGGGGAUUAGCUAGUUGGUAGGGUAAAGGCCUACCAAGGCGAUGAUGCAUAGCCGACCUGAGAGGGUGAUCGGCCACAUUGGGACUGAGACACGGCCCUAACUCCGACGGGAGGCACAAGUAGGGAAUCUUCCGCAAUGGACGCAAGUCUGCAGGAGCAACGCCGCGUGAGUGAAGAAGGUCUUCGGAUCGUAAAGCUCUGUUGUUAGAGAAGACCAGCGCAUAGAGUAACUGCUAUGCGUGUGACGGUAUCUAACCAGAAAGCCACGGCUAACUACGUG